GACGAACGCUGGCGGCGUGCUUAACACAUGCAAGUCGAACGGAAAGGCCCUGCUUUUGUGGGGUGCUCGAGUGGCGAACGGGUGAGUAACACGUGAGUAACCUGCCCUUGACUUUGGGAUAACUUCAGGAAACUGGGGCUAAUACCGGAUAGGAGCUCCUGCUGCAUGGUGGGGGUUGGAAAGUUUCGGCGGUUGGGGAUGGACUCGCGGCUUAUCAGCUUGUUGGUGGGGUAGUGGCUUACCAAGGCUUUGACGGGAAGCCGGCCUGAGAGGGUGACCGGCCACAUUGGGACUGAGAUACGGCCCAGACUCCUACGGGAGGCAGCAGUGGGGAAUAUUGCACAAUGGGCGGAAGCCUGAUGCAGCAACGCCGCGUGCGGGAUGACGGCCUUCGGGUUGUAAACCGCUUUCGCCUGUGACGAAGCGUGAGUGACAGUAAUGGGUAAAGAAGCACCGGCUAACUACGUG
rnacentral:rRNA from 1 species